rnacentral:rRNA from 1 species
AUUGAACGCUGGCGGCAGGCCUAACACAUGCAAGUCGAGCGGAAGAAGGGAGCUUGCUCCUGGAUUCAGCGGCGGACGGGUGAGUAAUGCCUAGGAAUCUGCCUGGUAGUGGGGUAUAACGUCCGGAAACGGGCGCUAAUACCGCAUUCGUCCUGAGGGAGAAAGUGGGGGAUCUUCGGACCUCACGCUAUCAGAUGAGCCUAGGUCGGAUUAGCUAGUUGGUGGGGUAAAGGCCUACCAAGGCGACGAUCCGUAACUGGUCUGAGAGGAUGAUCAGUCACACUGGAACUGAGACACGGUCCAGACUCCUACGGGAGGCAGCAGUGGGGAAUAUUGGACAAUGGGCGAAAGCCUGAUCCAGCCAUGCCGCGUGUGUGAAGAAGGUCUUCGGAUUGUAAAGCACUUUAAGUUGGGAGGAAGGGCAGUAAGUUAAUACCUUGCUGUUUUGACGUUACCAACAGAAUAAGCACCGGCUAACUUCGUG